rnacentral:rRNA from 1 species
UACGUAGGGCGCAAGCGUUGUCCGGAAUUAUUGGGCGUAAAGAGCUCGUAGGCGGCUUGUCACGUCGAUUGUGAAAGCCCGAGGCUUAACCUCGGGUCUGCAGUCGAUACGGGCUAGCUAGAGUGUGGUAGGGGAGAUCGGAAUUCCUGGUGUAGCGGUGAAAUGCGCAGAUAUCAGGAGGAACACCCGUGGCGAAGGCGGCUCUCUGGGACGGUACUGACGCUGAGACGCGAAAGCGUGGGGAGCGAACAGG